AUUGAACGCUGGCGGCAUGCUUUACACAUGCCAGUCGAACGGCAGCACGAAAGAGCUUGCUCUUUUGGUGGCGAGUGGCGAACGGGUGAGUAAUGCAUCGGAACGUACCGAGUAAUGGGGGAUAACUGUCCGAAAGGAUAGCUAAUACCGCAUACGCUUUGAGAAGGAAAGUGGGGGCUCUUCGGACCUCACGUUAUUCGAGCGGCCGAUGUCUGAUUAGCUAGUUGGUGGGGUAAAGGCCUACCAAGGCGACGAUCAGUAGCGGGUCUGAGAGGAUGAUCCGCCACACUGGGACUGAGACACGGCCCAGACUCCUACGGGAGGCAGCAGUGGGGAAUUUUGGACAAUGGGCGCAAGCCUGAUCCAGCCAUGCCGCGUGUCUGAAGAAGGCCUUCGGGUUGUAAAGGACUUUUGUUAGGGAAGAAAAGGAUAGUGUUAAUACCAUUAUCUGCUGACGGUACCUAAAGAAUAAGCACCGGCUAACUACGU
rnacentral:rRNA from 1 species